UUCUUCCCUUUAAUAAAAGGAAUCAAAUUAACUUCUCUUUCUUAUCUCCUCACGCUCACAUACAUCUACAUUCUCUCUCUGCGUUCCUUCUCUCUCUCUCUCAACUCUGUCGUCCUCUUUCUCUCUCCCUGUCUCCGGUGAGCGUCGCCGGCCUUCGCCGCCUCCGGCGCGGCGAGGUCGGCCUCUCCUCUCCCCCCUUCCUUUCUCUCCAUUUCUCCUUUCCCUAUGUUUCAAUCCCCAAAUUAUAAAAUCAAAAUCCUAGGGUUUCUACCUCUCUUCAUCCCCUCUGGAAUUCGUCUCUCCGGCGAAGCCUGCCGCCCCGCCGUCGUCUCUGUCACACCGCCACCUCUUCUGACUCAGGUAAGUCCCUGUCUCUCUCUCUACUUCUAUCUCUGCUCUCUCCCUCAAACUCCAUCUCUCUCUGCCCUUUCUCGAUCUCUCGCUCUCUCUCUUUCUCUGUCCAGGGCGCGGCGGCCGCCGCAAGCUACGACGGCGCUUGCAGCGCCGGCGCUCGCCGCCGCCUGCCCCGCUCCUCUCUCCCUCUACCUCGUUCUGCCUUUCUCACUCUCUUCCUGCUGUCUGUCUCUAUCUCACACUCUAUCUCACUAUCUCUUGCUCAAUCUCCCUCUCUCUUCUACUGCAGCAGCCACCGCGGCUGCCGUGGCUCAGGCAGCGCCGAUGGUCGCCGCCACCAGCCGCUCCUCCGUCGCGGUGGUUCGCGGCCUGCCGCUGCUAACCUCUCCUUUCCCUUUCUCUAUUUCAAUCACCAGUUCAAAAUCUAAUUCCAG
rnacentral:lncRNA from 1 species